CAGUAGCCACGGGAAUACGAGGGGGGCAAGCGUUGUUCGGAUUUAUUGGGCGUAAAGCGAGCGCAGGCGGUUAGAUAAGUCUGAAGUUAAAGGCUGUGGCUUAACCAUAGUACGCUUUGGAAACUGGGAAACUUGAGUGCAGAAGAGGAGAGUGGAAUUCCACGUGUAGCGGUGAAAUGCGUAGAGAUGUGGAGGAACACCAGUGGCGAAGGCGACUCUCUGGUCUGUAACUGACGCUGAGGAGCGAAAGCGUGGGGAGCGAACAGGAUUAGAUACCCCCGUAGUCCCUGUCUCUUAUACA
rnacentral:rRNA from 1 species